CCCUUAGAUGCGCUGGGCCGCACGCGCGCUACACUGGUCGAUGCAACGAGUUUCUUUCCUUGGCCGACAGGCCUGGGCAAUCUUUGAACAUCGAUCGUGAUCGGGAUAGAUUCUUGUAAUUUUUGAUCUUAAACGAGGAAUUCCUAGUAAACGCAAGUCAUCAGCUUGCAUUGAUUACGUCCCUGCCCUUUGUACACACCGCCCGUCGCACCUACCGAUUGAAUGGUCCGGUGAAAUCUCCGGACUGGCGUGAGUCGGAGCAAUCUGACAAACACCGGAAAGUUGAUUAAACCUUACCAUUUAGAGGAAGGUGAAGUCGUAACA
rnacentral:rRNA from 1 species